rnacentral:rRNA from 1 species
UACGGAGGGUGCGAGCGUUGUCCGGAAUCAUUGGGCGUAAAGGGCGCGUAGGUGGCCCGGUCAGUCAGUGGUGAAAGCGCGGGGCUCAACUCCGCGUCGGCCAUUGAUACUGCGGGGCUCGAGCACUGUAGAGGCAGGCGGAAUUCCGGGUGUAGCGGUGGAAUGCGUAGAGAUCCGGAAGAACACCGGUGGCGAAGGCGGCCUGCUGGGCAGUUUUGCUGACACUGAGACGCGAAAGCGUGGGGAGCAAACAGG